rnacentral:lncRNA from 1 species
GAUACUUUUUCCCUUAAACAGCGCCUCUACUCUGGUUACUCCCCACCACGGCUUCUUGCCUCAUUGAUUUCACCUUUAGGAUGGCAUAGUUCUUAGGGAUUUUUCUCCGUUUCCACUUUGCUAAUAAACUUCUUAACAUAUUAUUCUUCGAAUAAUUCUACUAUAAAGUAACUAAUUUGAAUUUAUUUUAUCGUAUAAUGAUUGUUG